rnacentral:rRNA from 1 species
UACGUAGGCAGCAAGCGUUGUUCGGAGUUACUGGGCGUAAAGGGUGUGUAGGCGGUUGUUUAAGUUUGGUGUGAAAUCUCCCGGCUCAACCGGGAGGGUGCGCCGAAUACUGAAUGACUAGAGUGCGGGAGAGGAAAGUGGAAUUCCUGGUGUAGCGGUGAAAUGCGUAGAUAUCAGGAGGAACACCGGUGGCGAAGGCGGGUCUCUGGGCAGUAACUGACGCUGAGACACGAAAGCGUGGGGAGCAAACAGG